UACGUAGGGGGCAAGCGUUGUCCGGAUUUAUUGGGCGUAAAGAGCUCGUAGGCGGUUCGUCGCGUCGGCUGUGAAAUCCCGAGGCUCAACCUCGGGUCUGCAGUCGAUACGGGCGGACUGGAGUUCGGCAGGGGAGACUGGAAUUCCUGGUGUAGCGGUGAAAUGCGCAGAUAUCAGGAGGAACGCCGGUGGCGAAGGCGGGUCUCUGGGCCGAUACUGACGCUGAGGAGCGAAAGCGUGGGGAGCGAACAGG
rnacentral:rRNA from 1 species